GAUUACCACCAACAGACGCUUAAGCGAACACACAUUGAUUAUCCUACGGUUCUAUAGUUUGGAAAAUGGUCCUGAUAAAGUAAUAGUGACUAUCUAAGGCCUGAAGGAAGGUUUGUGAGUAUUUUUUCCCAUCUGGUUUUUAGAUCUGUUGGAUUUUCUUCUGGGUGUGUCAAAAUUAGAUUUGUUUAGUAAUAGAAAUUUGAACUUGGCAGUUUAUAGAAAAUCAGGAUAGUUCUCCUCUGUGAAGGUCAUUUUCUAGCUGGCAAUAAAUGGCCACAUGCAACCUCUGCCACCAGACCGUGAGCACUUGUUGAAAUAGUUGGAGACAUCUAAUUACUUUCUCCUGAGAUGGUUUGCCUUUUUCUUAGAACAGGAUUUUGAGACUAUAAAGAGAUCUAUCUCUCUGCUCUUGAUAGUUAGAAUUAUUGCGUCUCCUUGAUAAGAUAUUGAGUAUCCUUCUUAUGGGUCUGAGUUUUUUUAGCUUCUCUACCAUUGGAAAUAACAAUAAUGCUUGCCACGAAACCAUCUAAAAAUCCAUCGUCUUUGCAGUAGCCUUCAACCGGAACUACUGAUAGCUGUUCCUGCAGUGCCGUUGUUCUCAUUGGAGCAUACUACAGAAACCUAUUUAUGAAAAUAUCUUGUGGUUUCCAAAUAGUUGUAGGAAAGGGAAUUUUUGGUCACUUAUGCAAUUUACAGAAUUGAGGUCAGUUGAGGAUGUUGGGAUAGUUCUGACUGGAGCUGUGAAGACAAAGGUAUGAGUAAUACUCUAGAUCUCUAAGCUCAUUUCCAAUUGUAUAUUGUUUGUGAGUCAUUGGCUUUGAAAACCAGAGGAGAGGCCCACAUUUGAGUUUAUCUGUAAACACCCGUUUUUGGUGUCAUCCAGCAUUUGAAAGUAAUAGUUGUAGGUGGUGGAUCAUGUUUAAUUUCUAGGGCUUUUUGUGAAUAGAUGAUAAAGUGCUCCUUUAUUAUAUGAUAAGACACAGCUCUCCACUCUCCCUCCCACUCUACUCCCCCGUCAUCCUGGAACUAAAUCACCAGAGGGUUUAAUCUAUUUCAAUUUUCUUUGUUCACAUCAGAGAUGUUUUGGGUUUGUUCUGUGGACUUCUUAUGACUAAGAGUAUUGAUUUUAUUAAUCCAAUUGUUUGUGAACAAAAGCUGGCUUUUUUUAUUGCUGGAACUGAAAAUUAGUGACAUAAACUCUGAUAUCUUAAAAGGCUAAACUCACAUUUUUCCCCAGAGGCAUUUACCAAACUGGCUGUUACAUUUAUCCUUUCCUCUACUAAAUUUAUGCAACAUGAACUGCAGGAUAAUAAGCGUACCAAUAUACUUAGGUUCCUAAGAGUUUCAACAUAAUACUUCUCACAGUGAAAUCAUUGGUUCAGUUAUAAGACACUCCAUGCACUAUUGAAAUACGACCUAGGAUGCACCUAGUUUUACUCUGAUUUCUGUGUAGAUGUGGAUGCAAGGAUUCUUUUGAUUGAAACAUGUCCUUAGUUUCCAUGAACAAGGCAACAUACACCUGAUCAUUCCACCCUUGAAAGAUGCAAAUAAUCUUUCACGUUUUAUAUUAAAACACCAGAUAAAAACCCCAUGCCAGUUGACUAAAAUGAGUUUCUACCCUCCAGACAGUUUUUUUUUUUUUUUUAGUUCUAAGGAAAAUAGUUCAAUUUUAGCUGUAUCAAUAGCGUUUUGAGCGAGAUGGAAGAUGUUCGCCUCCGUUACAGAGGGAAUUUCAGGCAUUGCAUUGGAGCUGAAAUUUGCUGGCACCUGCUGAGUGAGAUUUUUCUGGCCUGUGCUCUGAGAACAUCUUUUAUCAAGUGCAUGAUCAUUUAUCCAGCUUUUUGAGAUCUAAACCAGGUCAUUCUUUGAUCUUUAUCUUACUCUGAACUUCCUAAUGGUUGAACCCGGUCAGAAGAGGGUGAAUCUCAGUCCUCCAGACCCUUCAGGAAGAAAGUCAUCCUGUUGGUAGUUUAGUUUUCUUUGUAACAAAAGCAUUUUUUUUUUAUUUAACCUAUUUUAUCACUUGAAAAUCUACUAUUUUGUUUCUGCCAUCCUAGAGUGUGUUUGGUCUAAUUGAAUCUCUUCAUGGACUCUGGGUGGUCACUAAAGCAUCAAUUUCUCAGAGGUUUUUUUUUUUUUUUUUUGAAAUAUUUAAGGCUAUUUGCUUGCCUCCAAAUGGUUCCAGACUACUGCAUGUAGUUUUUAUGUCUUUCUUUGGUAGUAUAGCCUUCUCAUUUGUUGCUUUCAUGCUGUUACCUUGUCACAAUGCCUGGCAAAAAGUAGGUGCUCAUUAAAUAUUUCUUAAAUGAAUAGAUGAUAGUAUUUUCUCUUCCUUUUCUAAUUGCCUACUUCUAAUUUGUUGAUGUUUUGGAAAUCAAGUAGGCAUACAUGAUAAUAUUGUGAGCAAAUCAAGAUUAAACAGUAUAUAAUUGCGGGCUUUAAUCCCUUGGAAAGUAAAAAGCCAGGACUUAUUUUGUGAUACUGAUCUUGUGACAACUAUUUUGACUACUAAGAGGUGGCUUUUAAAACAUGCUUUGUGCUUUGGAACUGAGCUCUGAAUCCACAAAAACUGAAAUUUUUGAAUUCCAAUUAGGUGAGGUAUCUUUGUAGUUAGUUUUCCAUCCAAUGGUCAUUACCAACACCUAAGAGUACUCCCAGAAGCAGGCUGUAGAAAAAUCACUAGGCCAUUACUGUGUUUGUGCUUAUUUUAAUUAGAUUUCUUUUAGAUUUUUUAAAGCUGUCCAGGGAGAAAAUGUGUCCCUUGUGAAUGCAAUGUCCAUUAUGUAAAACUUAAGUGCAUCAGGGGCUUUGGAAAGUGUAAAAUUUAUACUUAGGGCCCUGUUUAGUCAAUGUGAUGAGAUUUAAGAUCAAUUAUAGGGGAAGAAAAGAACUGGAUACAUUAUUGUUUUUAAGAAAACUUAAAAGAUGAUAAGUAUGUUUUUUGUCUCACUGCCAAAUGGUUGACAGUUUGCUUUUUUGAAUUGCAGUGGAGCUUUUUGAGAUGUUGGUCAGAGCCACUUCUGCUACUCUCUUAUUGUGUUCUGGCUAGAAGUGUUGGGAGGACAAGAAAAUUUCUCAUUAGUGACAUGUAGUGACACUUCACUUUAUUGUGCACGGAUGAUUUUCUGACAGAGAUAGAUGACAUGGUUCAAGUUUCCAAGAAAAUGUUAUUCCAUCAUUGAAUGGGGAAGCUCUGAACCAAUCUUUCCGAUUUACAAACAGACCAUAGAUGUGCCAAAUAUGACAAACUGAUACUGAAAUGUGGAGCCUUGAAAUUGAAGAUGUUUCCUUGUUCAUUGUUGGGUAUAUAAGGUUACAGGUAACUGAGUACAUUAACCAUGCCAUGUGUUCACUUUUCAUUAAGUAGUGACGUGGAUGGUGCAAGGUCGAUAGAGAAAAGUCUCCAUUAGUCUGAAUUUUUUGACACUAGAUUUUUAUUUUCCUAUCAGGAAAUAUUUUUUUCUGGAGCAGAAAGGGCAAAAUAGUUUCCUCCAUUUUCUCCAACAGGAGCAUCUCCUCAAUAGGAUUCCUCAGCUUGACUCGCUGGUGUCAAAGAGAAAGGCAUAUUCCCAGGCAGUGGCGGAGUUGAUUGGUCACCUGCUACCCCUUCCCUUCUGUAACAUCCACUAACUCCUCAUCUCCUUGCCAAUAGUGCCCACUUUCUGUUUGACAUCAAGGAACUAAAUAUAGUUAGUUCUGACAGAAUGUCUAGUCAGUGCUGUGUCAGUAAAUGGUUAAUAACAGGCACUGAGGGCCUGAGUGUGGAUCUGCUUGUAACAUCUGAUGAUUUGAUUUCCAUGGUGUAAGUAUUCUCACUAUGACUAAUUUCAAGCCACCAAAGUAACAUCGAAUGUGAAAUUAAAAAGAAAUACUAACAACUGGCUCCCAUGAUCCCAUAAUACUCAAUACCAGCAUACUACUACCUCUAUUCCAAAGCUGCUGUUUUACAUACAAGAAAACUGUGAUCUAAAGGAGUGAAGAGGCUUUUCUGAGAUCGCACAAACAGGGUAAGACUUGCGCCAGAGUACCUAUCCCCAACUUCUGAAGUUAGUUUUUAAUAAGCUGAUGAUCUGAUUUACUUAUGUUUACAUAUGUAGCUGCUAACUGAAACAAAUUUAUUUCUUUUAAACGGAAGGGCCCCUUAGGUUCUUUGCUUAAGACCAGA
rnacentral:lncRNA from 1 species